GGCAGACAGUCGGGGGUCUCGGCUGGUAAGGCGGACGGCGAACUCGACGAUAGGGACGAGGUUUCCGACUGCGGGGUUUGAGAUGAAUGCCUACUGGGCUUUCCCCAUUGGGCUGAAGGCCGAUAAUAUUCGCCACUGGAUUUGUUUAUCCCCGAAGGAUGUGCGGCUCCAGUGAUCACAAACCAAAUACCUACCUCUCGCUAAUGGGCUGGACUGCUUGUUAAAUGUGGCUGGGCUCCUAUCGGGUUUCCAUCCUACGAGGGAAAGCAGCAUCACCAACUUAACAUGAGUGAGUUGUUAUCGUUUAAAGACAUGAGCUCGAUUGCCGAUGCCUUUGCAAUGGACAAGAAGAAGAAGAAAAGGACGACAAAGGACGGCAGCGAUGCCACAGCGAGGACUACUAACAACAAUGACAAUGAUAUAAAGAGCCAAGUGAAAAGGAUAAAGAAGGGGCUCGAGAGGACGAGACUGGCGAGCAUUAGGAUCCGGCCUAUGGUGAACGUCCCGAUCUGCACGCCGGUCAGCAGGGCCGGCAGCGGCUCUGCUCUGCCUCCCCUGUUUCCCCUGACGAAGGGGCGAGGGUAGAUUCGGUCACUGCCUUCUGUUACCCUUUUUUUUUAUUUUUUACUGCCCUCUUAAUUUAUUUUUAUGUUUUUGCCCAUGUUCGAUUUUUUUUUAUCAUUUUUAGAUGAAAAUUGGUUAUGGAAGAUCAGAAAAAAUCUAGACACGUGCAUGCUGACUUUUGUUCAUAUCAUGAGAUAUAUAGCAAGAUUGAUUUCAUUUCCA